AUGUUCCCCUUAGCUCUGCUGUUGCUGAUGGCUGCUGGAUCCUGUGUGAAGUGUGAACAGCUGACACAGCCAGCCGCUAUGUCUGUGCAGCCAGGUCAAAGUCUCACAGUUGACUGUAAGGUCUCUUAUGAUCUGGGCUACUGGACACACUGGAUCAGGCAGCCUGCUGGGAAAGGACUAGAGUGGAUUGGAUAUACAUGUAGCGGAUGCACUCCAAUCUACAAAGAUUCUUUAAAAAACAAGUUCCGCUUUACCGUAGAUUCUUCCCGUAAAACAGUGACUCUGAAUGGACAGAAUCUACAGCCUGAAGACUCUGCUGUGUAUUACUGUGCAAGACAAGACCACAGUGACACAAACAAGCAGCAGAGCUGUACAAAAACCUAUUAG